rnacentral:lncRNA from 1 species
GCAGGACAGAGCCGAGAAGGGAGCUCAGAUUUUGUUAGCACCCUCACUUCCUGGGAGAAGGCAAACUAGAGAUAAACAGAGCCAUGGCCCUGCCCUGAGGACAGAGACCCCAAGUGCUGUGCCUGUGCCUGGAACACCCCUCCCCUUUCCACCUUAGGAUUCAAGGCCCACCAUCCCAGCCGGCCUCCACCAUUGCUCACUGCUUCAUCGUUAGAUGACGGAUCUCCCCUUGGAACCAACCUCAACAGGCAGGAGGCGCCAUGACCGCGGGGGCCGGGAGCCCUGCCCUGGCUGCGUGAGACAGAAAUGCCACUCCGGAAAGUCUCGGGGCAUCAAUAUUUCAUGCUGCUGGAGCUGUCUUUGUUUUUAUGCAAAUUGCUCGGGCUGCCAGAUGGGCAAGGGCUGGCAGCGUCAUCCAUCACCAGGCUGUUCCCUCCUCUCAACCUUGCUAGCUGCCAGGGCCCUGCAGGCUGGCCUCAGCUGUGGCCUGUCCACUCACUCAGGUCUGCACAGCAGGUCACAGGCCUGUCCUGAACACCGGGGGACACAGAGGAAGACAGAGACCAGGACAGGGUCCGAGUGAGAUGCAAUAAAUGGCUACAGUCUGGGUUGUGGUGGGCCAGUGACCUUUGCAAAAUCUGGAUACCACCUGGCAGUGCUGCUGUAGACGGGCUUCCUGCAUUAAGAAGAGGCUACAGCAGACCACUCCUGAAAUCUCCGGAUUCCAGAAUUCCGAGUCUCAGGUUCUGCGCCUCAUAGAAGAGACAGAAGCAAAGACCCAUGGGCCAUGUCCUGUGACUGCACUGUUUCAUUGCAUCCUUGCAUCACAACAUCCUAGCAAG